GAUCCUCCAUCAGGGAUGGCUUUACCUUAGGCAGGCAAAACAACUUGGCAGGUGGGCCGUGGCUCCCCAGAUUAUCCCUGCCUUGUGCCCAGUGCCUGCUGGCAUGGACUCCUCUUCCACAAGACCUGGCACUGAAUAAGCAAGUUCAGAGGAUGGCUGGAAACUCCUCCUGUAAUAAUUGGGGAUCUCAGAUCUAAACAAGGAGAUCUGGAUGACAGGAGUUGUAGUCCAUUUCAUUGACUUCUGGGGGCGGGGCCUACAGCUGCAGCGUCAGUGGGCCCUGUGGCCCCCCAUUUCAGCAUACAGAGAACAAGCUAAAAGACCCUGCAAGGAAUACCAAGGACUUUGUAAAAAUGUUACACAGACACAGUAGCACAACACAGAGAGAGAGAGACGACAAAGCCGUGUGCCAUGAUUAGGAAUCACAAACACAAUGAAACCCGUGUGAGGCCUCCAGAAAUCAUUAUAAAGCAGGCCAGGACCUUCACUGCUCAGCCCUGAAGAGACUCGCUCCAGACCAGCUUGCCUGAAAAAUAUACCUGCAGGCUUCAGCCCUGGCUAGGCCCAAAAUGGGGAAAACUGGCUUAAUAGUUUCAAAUAUUACAAAAAACGUAAUGGAAUAUAGUAAUAAACCUAACAAGGAAGAGGAUGAAUGACUGUGAGCCCCCAGCUUGUGCACAAAAAGACAAAAUAAGGAUUUACUUAACAAAGCUGAAAAAUACAGCCAAAUAUUCAGAAAAGUAUUAAAGGAGUUGCCUUAAAGGUCCCAAGAAACACAACCCAAAAAUAACAUCCUGGACCAUCCGCAGAAAAUAAUCAAAAACCAGAGAAUUCCACACAAAGCUACCAGUACUCGUCAACACUGCACACAAAUGCAAUGAUCUCCUACUCCUGAGCCUUCUCAGCUGAUGUGCAUAACCAGGGGGAGGUGACAUCAGACCAGCCCCGCCUCCUUUACAUUUACAGUACACAAUGAGUAAAUCAUAGACAAACGUGAGAGACAUUACAUCAAAACAUGUAAAUGAACAAUUUAAAAACACAGAAACCAACAAUAGUGCAUAACAGACGAGGCAAAAAGGGAUGGAGGCCAUCUAAAAGUCCCAAAACAGCAGGCCGGGACCUUCGCCAACCUGCCCAGAUGUGGACUUAACCUUGGCAGUCAGCCAACCUGUGCAAACCCCAAUUAGGAAACGAGCUUUUAAAGUUCAAAAUGCACUCAAAGUCCGAAAACAUCUUAGAUGGGAGAGAAGACUGUAAACACAACUCCAAUGGAAAUCUCUAGAAAGUGAGGAUUUAUUAACAAAAAAAAAUUAGAAACAGAAGACAAAAGGCAGCUAAGAAUUGUGAGGAGAGCAGAAACAAAGAACCUCGAGACGGGAGCCAACACGUGGAAAGCGAUGUUCACCAAACGCCUUGAGGUCUGCAGCAGUCGAUGGGCCCCAAUAAACUGCCAUAAAUAGGAGGUGGGCGGGCCUGCACCUGUGAUGUCAGAGGGCCCCACCUCUUCAGGUCUAACUGCCAUAUAUAGGAGGUGGGUGGGCCUGCACCUGUGAUGUCCCACCCACAAAACACAAGUGAGGGCUGCACAUUUAAAGAUCUUGAAUGCGAUGAAUUAUUGAGAAAGAAACACAACACUGGCAAAGUCUCGGCCCCAACAAAGUCACCGGACACAGCAGUUGUGGACAGAAGAAGUCCAGGGUAGACACCCCAUGAGGGUCUCGUUAUCCUCCCAGCACUUCAGACUUCCUUAUCUGAGUGACGGCCACACAUCUUUGGACGCCGAGCCCUAAAAUAUGGAACGAUUACAGCUUAAGACUUGCUGACUCCCUUGGCACCAGUGCACUGUGGGUAUUCACUUGAGUGGCACCGACUGUGCUCUUCAGAAGGUGGCACUGGCCACCUCUCUCCUGCAGGACACUGGGGGGGGGUGCUGCUGUCCCCAUCCUGUCAUGUUCUGUGAUGGCGCCAGGUCACUCGCUGAACGAGCCACUCACCUGCUGGAGGUCACUCUGUACAGCAGCUGGACCUUGUGGUGGUCAUUUGGAUGAAACUUUCUACGUUCUGUCAUCUAAAUAAAUGUGAGUUUAGAAUUUCA